rnacentral:rRNA from 1 species
UGGCUCAGAACGAACGCUGGCGGCAUGCCUAACACAUGCAAGUCGAACGAGACCUUCGGGUCUAGUGGCGCACGGGUGCGUAACACGUGGGAAUUUGCCUCGGGGUAUGGAAUAACUCAGGGAAACUUGAGCUAAUACCAUAUAAUGUCUUCGGACCAAAGAUUUAUCGCCCUGAGAUAAGCCCGCGUAGGAUUAGCUAGUUGGUGGGGUAAAGGCUCACCAAGGCGACGAUCCUUAGCUGGUCUGAGAGGAUGAUCAGCCACACUGGGACUGAGACACGGCCCAGACUCCUACGGGAGGCAGCAGUGGGGAAUAUUGGACAAUGGGCGAAAGCCUGAUCCAGCAAUGCCGCGUGAGUGAUGAAGGCCUUAGGGUUGUAAAGCUCUUUUACCAGGGAUGAUAAUGACAGUACCUGGAGAAUAAGCUCCGGCUAACUCCGUG